GAGGAAAUCGUUCCCCGGUGGGACGGCCGGUCUUCAAAACCGGCAGGGCUUGUCAGACAAGCCUUGGUAGGUUCGACUCCUGCUUUCCUCC
rnacentral:tRNA from 1 species